AACUCCUACGGGAGGCAGCAGUGGGGAAUAUUGGACAAUGGGGGCAACCCUGAUCCAGCCAUGCCGCGUGUGUGAAGAAGGCUUUCGGGUUGUAAAGCACUUUCAGUGAGGAGGAAAACCUUACGACUAAUACUCGUGAGGCUUGACGUUACUCACAGAAGAAGCACCGGCUAACUCCGUGCCAGCAGCCGCGGUAAUACGGAGGGUGCAAGCGUUAAUCGGAAUUACUGGGCGUAAAGCGCGCGUAGGUGGUUUGAUAAGCGAGAUGUGAAAGCCCCGGGCUCAACCUGGGAACGGCAUUUCGAACUGUCAGGCUAGAGUAUGGUAGAGGAGUGUGGAAUUUCCUGUGUAGCGGUGAAAUGCGUAGAUAUAGGAAGGAACACCAGUGGCGAAGGCGGCACUCUGGACCAAUACUGACACUGAGGUGCGAAAGCGUGGGGAGCAA
rnacentral:rRNA from 1 species